GUUGGUUUUUCUCCAAGGAUUUACUGACAACCGAAGCCCUGACUGUUACCGCGGUUGGGGCUUCAACUUU
rnacentral:antisense_RNA from 1 species